rnacentral:lncRNA from 1 species
AAAAACCAACAACAACAGCAGCAACAAGAAGAAUUACAGCAGACACUGGCAGACCAACUUUCAGUACAACAGAUCCAUCCUUCUUCCCACCUGCCUCCUUCCCUCCACCCUCCUUCCCUCUAUCCUCCUUCCCUACUGCCUUCUUCCCUCCAUCCUCCUUCCCUCCAGCCUUCUUCCCUCCAACCUUCUUCCCUCCUGGCUCCUUCCUUCCAUUCUCCUCUCCUCCUGCCUCCUUCCCUCCAUCCUCCUUCCCUUCACCCUCUGUGUGUCCUCCUGUCUGACCUGCAGGUGAGAAACAGGUGUGAGGUGUCAGCUGUCAGACCAGCUGCUUUCUACAAAGUCUCAUCAACAACAUCUUUAGAAACAAACAUCAACAACCAGGAAGCAGCUUCACCUCUGAUCACACACGCACUCAACUCUACUCACUCACCUGGAGGAGCAACAACAGUCAGAGUGAUGUUGCAGAGGAGCUUCAAACCAUCUGUAGCUUUCUGGAUGACACCACAUUCAUAUGUUCCAGUGUCACCAGUCGUCACAUCCUUCAGAACCAAAGACACGUCUCCAUCCUUCAUCUGUCUGUCCUGCAGAUCCACCCGGUUCUUAUAAUACGUAUGCUGGUUGGUGGUAACAAUGACCCCUUUGUCAUAAAAAAGGACACAGUUACCUUCCAAGUCUGGUUUGCUCCACUCUAAAACUCUGAUGUUGUUGUUUGGAGCUCUACAUGUCAGAAUGACGUUCUCUCCAGGCUUAGCUGUGACGAUGUUUGGGUCUGAAAGAGGAAACAACACAGAGAAGAGAGGUCACGAAGGUUAAAGAGCAACUUUUCAUUUCUAGACCAGUGAUUAUUGUGAUGGGCUGGAUACAAAAACACUCAAAGAGAAGCAUGAAACAUAUGAGUCCAGCACAGUAGAAUUUCAGGACAGUGUCAGCUAGUGGUUAUAUUGUAUUGAUGUGUGCUCAAUCAUCCAGGUAAGGAAAUCCCAAAAGUACAUAUGGGUGACAGAUGAAAGAAAUGAACGAUGUUCUCACGACUCAAUGUUUCACAAAGACUGCCUCACAUGGAGCCAAUAACCACUACGAUCUCCUUUACGUUCAGCUACACUAACAUCAGCAUUAAUGAGCAUUAUUACUCGGCAUGUCGCUCUAAUCAAACCACACUUAAAAACGCUCAUGUUGAAUCAUUUGAUCAGGUAUUAGAUGAGGUUUGAAUCUGCUCUGCUGAUGUGAAGCUGUCCACUGAAAGCAGAAGUCACCUUCGCCAGCAGACCUAGAUCACAAACAGGAAGAGUGACCGGGGCGUUGCUGUUAUCGUAAAUAAUGACGUUGCCUCUGAGGGCACACGGAAAAAUCUCCGUGAAGCUCAUCUGUUCUGUCGUUCACAGAAACGAUAGUUACCGCAGCCACAAACGACGAGCUGAAAACACGUCGGCAGCCCCUGUCCACGUUUCAGAGUGGACAGCAGCUUUUCUGCCUAAGUUUGGCUUCAGCCUCUGACGGUAAGAUGAAAACUCUUUAACUGCUGAACAGCCUUUGAAAUUUUCGUUCAGCGUAACCUUAAACUCAAUUAUUUAUUUUUUUUCACAGAGUUAUUAUUUUAGUUCGAUGUUUUGCACUGGUUUUCAUUUUAAUUUGGUUUCAAAUGGUUAACACACUUUAACAAUUUCCAUACUAGUUUUCAGUGAUGAUAUAAAUAUCAUUAAAAUAAUACUGGACUGUUUGGGAACAUGAGAAGCGUAAAAUUUACCAUUGGACUUUUUUGUAUAUUCCUCCCUCUUUGGAGCUGUAUGAGGCUACCUAAACACGCACGACAUGAAUGGAAAGCCCGGUAUGUCCUCUAUGACUUUGUGGGGUUGCUCACUUAAGCCAAAUGUUACAUCAAAAUUAAGAUAUAGGCUGAUUUUCACUUGUAUUCCGCGUUUCUCCACACCGCCCCUCGCAUUGUUUUUUUGUUUUUGUUUGUUUUAUGAUUUUUACCUCUUAUCAAUGCACGACCACGUGAAAUUAAAUGUUCCUGGUUUAAAUGAUAAAAACGCCACAUUUAGAGCAUGAAGGGGUUGAUGGAGCUGGGGUGGAACAGCUGUUUUAAAUGUGACAGUUUUUUUUUCUUUUUUUCUUUCUUUAAAUAUAACAUUUGAUGAUGUUUUAACAAUUUUUUUUAUUAAAACGGUCUGAGUAAGUUUAUAACCAGGGUAUAACCUAUGAGUAACCCAGGAACAGAGAAAAUAGUCAGGGAGCAUGUUUACCAGUAUAUAGGGAAUAGAGAAUGCAGACGUUUUUAGGUUCGUUGUGAGAGUCUAUCCCAGCUGUCAAGUGUGUCAUUGUGUGUGGGUCAAAUAAGUGACAAUUGUUGUUUUGGGGAAUCUUGAAACUGUACGUGUCAUGUCUGGGUGUAUUUUGUUUCUUUAAGUGACAGUAAUGACAGAGAUCUAGUUGUGUGGAUGCUUUAAGCAUCCACACUAUUGAGUUCCU